ensembl:lncRNA
UCCUACUUCUGCCCUGCUGAAACUCAAUCCAAACUGUCAGUGUUCUGACCUCUCUUCCCUACAUAGAUGGAAUAUGUUGUGCUUUUGUUGAGAUGAAAGAUCUGCAUAGUUAGAGGGCAAACCGUUUUCAGUGAGUUUGCUGUUUCAAAUUUCUCUUGAAUGGAAAUGUGGAUUCUUUACCAGCUGAGCCACAGGGAACCCCAAGAAUACUGGAGUGGGUAGCCAAUCCCUUCAGCGGAUCUUCCUGACCCAGGAGUCAAACCAGGGUCCACGGCAUUGCAGGCGGAUUCUUCACCAACUGAGCUAUCAGGGAAGCCCUGUUUUUCUUUAGCCGCAUGGCAAAAUGAGGAAACAGCUGACAAGUGAUGAGUCUGCACAAUGGAAAAACCACCCUGAUCAUUGGCAUCAUAGUCUUGGAAACUCAACAUAGGAAAUAACAUAUGGGAUUCGACACCUUGCUUUGGGGCCCGCCAUCUCCUUUCCGACAGUGGUCUCCAGGACCCACCAGCUCUGACACAGGAGCUGUCCUCUGCGACAUCCCCCUUGCAGGGAAGGCUUAGCCCAAACACAACUCCUUCAGCGGCACAACUGGUUCACGCUCACAGCAGUUAUGACACUGAAACUCGAGUUCACACGGGUUAGUGACUGGCAAAGGCCACUCCUGUGAGUGUAUAAGGCCGGGCAGGCAAUCUUACAGACAUCAUUCACAACUUAGCAAAGUAGUGGGGACUUCUGGGGCUGAAAAUUGAAAUGAAAUGGUAUCAUGUUACUCAGCUAGAACAACAGCAAACUAAUCUAGAACAAUUUCUUGCUAGUUACAGGUAAUAUAAAUAUAGGGUAGGGUGAGAGAAAAAAAAUACAUAUAUAUAUAUAUGCAUUUUUCCCCCAACUUGAGAGGAUACUGGAAAGGAAAUAUUCACAUAAGAAUUUGUGUCCAUGUACCAGGUAUUAAUCCAUGUAUGGAAUGAUUUUCCUAAAAGUUAAAAAGUAUUUGAACCAACUAACCAGGCUUCAAGAAGCACUUUUCUGUAUGAACUAAAAUACCCAAAGAUAAAAUAGGUAUGGCAUUGCCCAACUUCUUUCAGUUUCUAAACUAGUAAGGUAAAAUAAGCCAUUAUCUAAAAGUACGCCAAGAAUUUCUAAAUAUAUCAUAUUACUUGUUAAAAUGACAUACAUACAAAUUCUCUAUACAUAGUCUACUGUGUAUGUAAAAGUUGUAAUGACAUACAUGAGAGGCCCUGAACAAACUGCUGAAAUAUUUGAUUACAGAUUUUCACAUAACUGUUAAAUCACAAUGUGUAUGGUAAAAAGAUAGGUUACUGAAAAGACUGCUAUUCUUCAAACGAAUUUUUGGUACUAAGGAAUUGUGUAUGCAUGCAUAGGCAUAUCCUGGUAUGAAGAUAUGUUAUGUUAGUGACAGUCUGUGUAAGUUACACACCAGUGCCACCAAGAGGCAAACUCUCAGAUCUCAUGUGUAUGACUUAAAAACAGAAUAACAUGCUGAAGCUACAAGUGUUACAACAGUAAUACAUACUGCAUUCAACAACUGAUAGCCUUCUAGACUCUCCCUUACCACUACAAAAUGAUGGCAAUACAAUAUGUUUUGUUUUUUAACUGAAGAGUAAAAAUAAAAUUAAUGUCAAGAUACAUAUACACACUUAGAAUUUUCAAAACUUAUAUGUUGAAUUUUAGGAUGUUUAGGGAAAAAAUAUAUAUAAAUGGAAAAUAUGUUUUAGUGAAAAUUCUUUUAGAAUGCUGCAUUAUCAUAUCCCCAAGAGCUUUCCUAUCCAAACCAGUGCUAGAAACUCAGAAACUUUUUUCAGGGAUGUGGAGGGACGUGAACAGGUGAAACGCCUGUCUUCCUAUUCUUCCCCAAGUCCAAACAUUACUGCACGUUUAGAGCAGAUUUUCUUUUCCGGAACCAGUUUCUCAAUUCGUUAUCUACUUCUCUUAUAUGGAAUACCAGUGUCUUUAGGGGCACAUAUGUACAGUGGGAAUACAAUUAAAUGAGCUCAAGUUCUAAGAAAACAUUAGCAUUUUCUAAAUGGACUAAAAGUUAUGAGAAGUAAAUCCCACCAAGUACGAGCUCAGGGGCCAGUUUAGGG